UGUAACAUAUAAGAAUGAUUUUGAAAGUCAUUAGUAGGUGUUUAACCCCACCAUGUUACUU
rnacentral:tRNA from 1 species